GUUCUUUUUUUGGAUUUUGAUGGUAUGCCUGACCAAAGCAUGAUCCUAAUCUAGUAACUGUUGCCCUUUUACAGAAUACAAAUAUCCAGAAAUUUUCACAUACCUAGAGGACCUCACCUUCUUGGUGCUCCUUGCUUACAUAAGAUGCAUCUAAUGCAUCAUCGACCUGUUACAACGUCAACAUCGUCUGGGUACGAGCGGCCGUAGAUCACAAGGGGGCGUGGAACUGUUGCAGACCAUUUGUGACAGAGCAUAAUCCAGCGACUUUGCCCAGGUGCCGUGACCGGGCCUCAAAGGCAGGGCCUGGGCGAAGAGGUAUCCCCGACGACCAAGACAAGGCCACGGUGGUGAAGACUGUGGUGAGACAGAGCUGACUCCAGCAAAUUUGACCAGCCAGUGCAAAUGUGUCCCUUGAUCAACUAAACUGGGUGAAUGUAAAAUCAUGGGGAGCCUUGAAGCCUUCUAAUGAACACAUAAAAGAUAAUCAGUGUUUAUUUG